CUAUGUAGGAUAAUGUGCAUAAAUUCGCAGUCGGAUUCAAUAUACUACUAAUACUCACUACACUAGGCCUAUGGUGGCAGCGUUAAUGGUUAAACCUUUGUGAACGAUAAUUUAAUGCCUUCGACAAUUCUGUGGCAAGUCUGUGGCGUGGAAAACGGACUUUGUGAGGCAAGAAUUACUGUUUCAUUCUCCAGCAUUGAUGUCUGUUGAUCUGUGCUAUGGCUGCUAGAAGGAUGGCUACGGACAAAAGCAGUGUGAAAUACACCCGCAUGACUGACACUGGGGAUGGCUACAUAGACUUGCAGUUUACUCGACAGCCCCCCAAGGUCCCCUGGAAGUCCAUCGGUGUAGCCUGCCUCCUCUUGGUCAUGGGGACGGUCUUGCUGACCAUC